AACGAACGCUGGCGGCAGGCUUAACACAUGCAAGUCGAACGCGAAAAGGGCUUCGGCUCUGAGUAGAGUGGCGUCCGGGUGAGUAACGCGUGGGUAAUCUACCUUUGGGUGGGGAAUAACUAGUCGAAAGGCUAGCUAAUACCGCAUAACGCAAUUUUCUAUUAGGGAAUUGUUAAAGCAGUAAUGUGCCUAAAGAUGAGCCUGCGUCUGAUUAGUUUGUUGGUAGGGUAAUGGCCUACCAAGACUACUAUCAGUAGCUGGUCUGAGAGGACGGCCAGCCACAAUGGCACUGAAACACGGGCCAUACUCCUACGGGAGGCAGCAGUGGGGAAUUUUGCGCAAUGAGCGAAAGCUUGACGCAGCAACGCCGCGUGAAGGAUGAAAUCCUUCGGGAUGUAAACUUCGCAAGUAUGGGAAGAAACAAAUGACGGUACCAUAUGUAAGCCCCGGCUAACUCCGUG
rnacentral:rRNA from 1 species